ACCCCGGCCAGGCAGACUGACCCCUCAGCACCGAGGUGACCACCAGACCCCCGCACUGACCCCCUACCCCCCCUCCGCUGAGGCCGAGCAGGUGCUGUCACCUCAGGCCGGGAGACGGGCAGAGCCCGGCGGCGGGAGCUCAGCCACCAGGGCGGGAAGCCCUGCCCGCCGCUCCUGAGGUACCGUGUGUGUCCCCCGCCGCCGGUGAGCGGCUCACGGCUGUCACCGACACCAUCCAUCCCCCCCCCCCCCUCCCGCCAACAGCAGAGCUGCCGGCCGCCGCCAGCGGGACGUGAGGAGAAUUGAAGCGAGACCCGCCCCACCACAACCAGGAGCACUGAAGGAGGUGCCUACACUAUUGCAAACCAAGGUAAUGAAGUCAGAUCUGACAAGAGCAAGAACUGAAAGUUACAGUACCUGGAAAAUGGCAGAGUGUGGCCUGACCAGACCCGUGUCUAAGGCCUGAGAAGUCCAGUAUGCAAUCAAUGGAUGGAGAGCAAGCUACAUUUCAGGCAGUUGGCCUCAGUUAUUUGACUUCGAAAGUUUGUAUUAUUUCAGUCUCUGCACAUUAUCGCCUUGACUUCUAAAAAAGCCUUUAAAUGUGUGCCAGUGGUAAAUGGAAAGGACUACUCAUCUGCUUUCUCUCCUUACAGAUCCGAGAACUACCACUACAGAUAAAUUACACAGAUCUCAGCUACAUCCAACAUCAUGCUUCUCUACCUCAGAUUUAAAUCCAAUUUUAGUGUUAUUGAAAGGCCAGGUAUCAUGCUUACCACUAAUUUUAGGCAACUGAGGCAACCCAACUUCAUACGCAAGUUGGACCAGUAUCUAGGUCAGACUGUUAAUUGCUCAAAAAUAUAGGCUUAAAGUAUGCCAUCAUGAUUUCACUGGCUUUACUGUAGGAUUACCCAUAUAACUAUUUUGAGUUGCUAAGGCACAAAUGCAUUAAGUCAUCUGUCUAGAUUCUUCAAAAGCUUUUAACCACAAUGACUUUUUUAGAUUACCUGCAUCACCACUGGAAACAAUUCACUGCUGUACUCGUUCAAGUGGAACAAGGUAGCUAUCUACAGUGCACAGCACUACUACAACAAUAAAUUCAGGACAGAACAGCACUACCACCGUAAUAUCAACUGUUCAAGACAGGCUCUUCCUAAACCAUUCUGCACUCACCCUGUCUACAAGAGUUAAUGAUGGGCUCAGACACCGCAAGUGACAAUUUGACACCAGCUCUGGUAUACCAAGGGACUUUUUAAAUGGAUUUGUGUUAUUAACACCAUGAACUAGUAGCAAGGUAUUUUCAGGCUUCCAACUUCCUUGGGUAAAAAGUGUUUAAGGUCCUCUCAGACUGUGGUUCCUGAGCUCCUACUGCUAACGGGCCAGUAGUUUUGUAUAAGCUUGGGAUUAGCAAAGGCAGCACACAAAAUGGCAUCUGUCAUUCUUGACUGUGAUUUCUCCAUACAGCAGCUCUCCUUUCAAGGAAUCUGCUUCUUCAGAACUACUGAAAGAUUUUGUUUGCUAUUAGUGCUAAUCUGCAGGCUUUACUCUGAGUGACAGUAUAAAUCUACAUAAAUUUAUGGAUUAAAAUACUGCUACAUCUCACUGCAAAAUAGUUUAGGUGCAAAGUUAGUUUCCUCUAAAUAAAGCAGCUUGAAAAUAGUUUUGUUGAAAGAUGCAUGCACAUGAAUGAAAAUGGACCAUUUAUUCUUC